AUUCCGAUGAAGAAGCUCUCCCAAAAUUGAUAGGAAGUGCCGUAUGACACUCCAAACCGCAGUGAGAAGCCAUUGAUACGACUGUUGGCUCCCAUCAGGCAGUGAACACCGACGCCGAUUCGUUUCUACCCUGGGGCGGUCUGGUUGUUGGAUCGUUUUGCUGUCCGGGAAUUCUCAGUCGUUUUCCGUGAUUCUCCUGUGUGGUUGAUUUGAAACGGGUCUCUGAGGAUU